rfam:Populus trichocarpa scaffold_1_contig_339, whole genome shotgun sequence.
AAAUUUGUCUAUGACAAAUCUUCAUGUAGCUAUGACAAAUCUCCAUCUAACUAUUUAAAAUCAUUCAUGAGAACUAUUGUGCAAAUAAUAACUUUUUAAGAU